AAUAGAUGUAGACACUAAGCUAUAUGCCUCGGUUUUGGCUGCCAGAAUAAAAAAACUUCUUCCAUUAAUUAUUCACAAAGAUCAAAUAGGAUAUGUUCCAGGUAGAAAUUCCUAUACAAGUAUAAGGAAAAUCAUUAACAUCUUGGACGAUGCAAAUAGAAAUGAUGUUGCAGUUCUGACUCUGUCGAUUGAUGCUGAAAAAGCAUUCGACAGAGUCAGCUGGAAAUAUUUAGAAGCCAUCUUAUCACAUUAUGGACUGGAAGGUUGGAUUAAGAAAGCUAUAAUGGCCUUAUAUGUAAAUCCAGUUGCACGGACUAUUGGACCUAAUAUUGUUGCCCCAUGGUUCCAACUUAGAAAUGGUACUCG